rnacentral:rRNA from 1 species
AGUGAACGCUGGCGGUAGGCCUAACACAUGCAAGUCGAACGGCAGCACAGUAAGAGCUUGCUCUUACGGGUGGCGAGUGGCGGACGGGUGAGGAAUACAUCGGAAUCUACUUUUUCGUGGGGGAUAACGUAGGGAAACUUACGCUAAUACCGCAUACGACCUACGGGUGAAAGCAGGGGAUCUUCGGACCUUGCGCGAUUGAAUGAGCCGAUGUCGGAUUAGCUAGUUGGCGGGGUAAAGGCCCACCAAGGCGACGAUCCGUAGCUGGUCUGAGAGGAUGAUCAGCCACACUGGAACUGAGACACGGUCCAGAAUCCUACGGGAGGCAGCAGUGGGGAAUAUUGGACAAUGGGCGCAAGCCUGAUCCAGCCAUACCGCGUGGGUGAAGAAGGCCUUCGGGUUGUAAAGCCCUUUUGUGGGGAAAGAAAAGCAGCAGGUUAAUACCCCGCUGUUCUGACGGUACCCAAAGAAUAAGCACCGGCUAACUUCGU